rnacentral:lncRNA from 1 species
AAUAAUUUAUUGUAACCUUUGCAUAGGAUUAAUCAUCAAUUAAAUUGAUAAUUAAACCCUCCAAUAAUUCAUAAUCAUCGAUCAGCCAUUUAAUCAGACAGGUACUUCUAUGUGUGUGACCCCAUAGGUUCGAAUCUAAGCUGAUAGCAUAAGAAUGAUUUCUGUACUAAUCGAUGUAACCAUCUAGCAAUGGGACCUGACAUCCGGAU